CCGCAUCCCGCCCAUCGACGGGACCGGCCUCGGCGACGGGGCCCGGCUGCCCCGGGGCCGCCUCAGCCCGGCGCCUCCAGGCCGGCACAGGCAGAGGAGGCCACGGUGUGGGACAGGCGCAGGUUUGGGGGCUCGGCGGCGGCAGGAGGCCGGGACGGAGAGGUUUGCGAGAGGAUUAGGGAGUUAUUUGUGGCACGCAGAAUCACUUCCUUCCUACCCCCCCUCCCCCUUUCCUCUGCCGAGGGGAAGAAAACGUGGAUGCUGGAGCACGGCGUCCCAGCCAAAGAGCUAUUUUAGUAUUGGCAUCUCCCGUCGCCGCACGGCUUUCCCCACCCACAGGACGGCAUGGUCCAGGAAGUGCCCGGGAGCAGCACCACAGUCCAGAGGAGGAGAGAGCCCCAGAGAGCAGCGUGGAGGGAGAGCCUACCUCUUUAUAGUUCUGUUCUGUUUCAUGGUGAGGAAAACUCAACAUGUACAGUACUCUGCAAAGCAAUAGAGAAAUGUUUAGGAUAUGCCAGGAACAGGCAAAGAAGCAAGACGCAAGCUCCAUGCAUGCAGAGUCACUGCACCGCGGCGAUCCUCGCAGGACGGCUUUGCCCUUCGCACCGGGUGUUGGGCCGAGAGACUUACGCAUUUGAGGAGGAUGCAAAACCUCGUGCAAAGUCUGCUUGGUUGCAUCUGCACUCCGGUUUGCAGGGCACGCAGAUACCUUUAGGAGCGGUUGUUAAGCAGACGUUUAUUUGUGUUUGGUGUGUGUUCUGCGUGCUACAACUGCGGGGCACUUGGGACCUGUUUUUCCUGAUUGUGGUACCCUUCCCGUGGGGCAGGGAACUGCCUGCACGCCCAGCAGUUGUUACAGAUAUAAUGAAGUAGUAACAUAUAGCCAUAAUUCUUAAGGCACAACUCUUAAGGUAGCAACAUCACCCAAAAAGACACAGUCUUCCUUUUCACUUAAUUGCUAUUAUCUUUGUAGAUGUUUCCAAUAGGGAACAUGGAUUCUAGCUUGCCACUUCCUCUUAACUUUGUAAUAAGCCGUGGUGUUUGCGUUAAAGACAAUCCAUGAAGUCCAUGGGAGUUUGGUUUCAGUAAGUGGCGAAUGAAAGCACAGAGGGACACAGCCUCAACCUUGCAAAUACUUAUGAGCUCGCUUUCCAGCGGGACAUGCGCACUUCCCCUGGUGACGUUCCCAGUUGGCUCAGAUCAAUGGUCAAACUCUUCUUGACUUUAGGAGGGUCACAAAUCAGUAGGGCUGCCCCAAUUCAGAAUUAAAUCCCAUGACAAGUGUUUCCAGGCUGCAAUAUAGCUGUUAUAAUUAAUAAAACAAGACACUAAAUGCUACA
rnacentral:lncRNA from 1 species